UUGUCUCAAAGAUUAAGCCAUGCAUGUCUCAGUACAAGCCAAAUUAAGGUGAAACCGCGAAAGGCUCAUUAAAUCAGUUAUGGUUCCUUAGAUCGUACCCACAAUUACUUGGAUAACUGUGGUAAUUCUAGAGCUAAUACAUGCAAACAGAGCUCCGACCGGAGACGGAAGGAGUGCUUUUAUUAGAUCAAAACCAAUCGGUGGCGGGUUCGCUCGUCAUCGUACAACUUGGUGACUCUGAAUAACUUUACGCUGAUCGCACGGUCAUCGCACCGGCGACGCAUCUUUCAAAAGUCUGCCUUAUCAACUGUCGAUGGUAGGUUCUGCGCCUACCAUGGUUGUAACGGGUAACGGGGAAUCAGGGUUCGAUUCCGGAGAGGGAGCCUGAGAAACGGCUACCACAUCCAAGGAAGGCAGCAGGCGCGCAAAUUACCCACUCCCGGCACGGGGAGGUAGUGACGAAAAAUAACGAUACGGGACUCAUCCGAGGCCCCGUAAUCGGAAUGA
rnacentral:rRNA from 1 species